UGAAGUGUUGGUGGUGGUGGGUGUAAAUAAGGAAAAUAGCUUGCUGUGUAGCUCAGUAGUGGUAGAUUUGAAGUCUAAUAAAAAAAGAUCACGUGUGCAUUGGAUGGCAUGAUAAAGCGUUGGUGUGUGGUAGUGCUGGAACUGCAUUUCAUUGAUCAGUGAUCUCCAUAUCUCUGGGACUGGUAUUUCUUGUUUGGCUGGGGAUAUUUGGUUUGGUUGCUCGGACAUGGAUCUCACAUAUGAAGUUGUGAAAUGGAAAACAUGGGGUGGGACUUGUAUUUCUUGUUUGGCUGGGGAUAUUUGGUUUGGUUGCUCGGACAUGGAUCUCACAUAUGGAAGUUGUGAAAUGGAAAACAUGGGUUGAUGAAGGAAUAGUUGAGUACUUAUGGUUCGAAGUUCUUAAAUUGCUGAAUUAUUGUCGAUCAAAUUUUCAGCUAGGGAAAAACUAGAUGCUACCCAAAUGGGCAAUUUCAGCUUUCGAUUAAUUUCUCCUCGCCUUUCCCCCCCAUAGUCAGAAUAUUUUAUAAAUAAUGUACAUAUACUGCAUAACCUAACUUGUUUAGUGUCAAUAGUUUACCUGUUUCUUUUCUCUAUGUUUCCUUCCCAAUCGUCUGUUUAGACCCCUUGCGCUUUCCUGCUCAGAUACUCUUGUAUUCCCGUACAUUGGCUGUCUGAGUUGGUUCAGCUUCUUUUUUAUCCUUCUUCCAUUUUCUUCUACUCUGGUUAGAGAUGUUACUGACUUCUGAUCUAGGUUUUCCCUUCGCCAAUUUCUUGGUUUUAAAAAAAGAAAAGCGGGAAUGGGAAUAGGACAGUCCAUCUUUUCUCUCGUAGUACUUCAGUCCAAUAGUAGUUGAGUUUGUUCUUGCAAGCUUCGCCUUUCUCUUCGGUAUAACUUUUUUUCCCUCUUUUAUUGCCUAGGGAUGAUCCUUUCUGAGCAGGUCUUACCUUUACCCCUUUCCUUGCUGGUCUUUAGUUCCAUCGACAUUGGAGAUUGUUGAUUAUAUGAAGUUGUUCCCAGUCAGUGCUUGUAGCUGAUGGAACAUUAAUGCUUGUAGAGGCCAUUCCAGUAUAGCGUAUCACUGAUCUUUGUAGGUUGUGUUCUUUGUUUUAUGAUGUGUGGUAGUCUGUCUUAUUGUGAAGUAUGAACAUCCUAGUGUCAUAUCUGAGUCUUAUGUUUCUUAUAGUUGUGAUCUCUUGCCUAUGUUUUGUUGAGAUGUUGUUUGGAUUGUGUAGUUUUCUUAUUGCCAAGCAAGUUAUCCUUCCAUUCUUGAUUUCAA